rnacentral:lncRNA from 10 species
AGAAUGGCCUCGGACACCCAGGCAGUCCCUGACGUGUCGGGGAGGAGCCGGGCGCGGAGGUACGCUGAGUGGAGCUCGGGGCUGCGUAGGGGAGCUGAGCCGAGCGGCUGGGCGGGCCUGGCCGGGCCGGCGGAGGGGAGACGUCGGUUGAGCGGCGGCGAACAUGCGCUUUUGACACAUUGGAGGCUUUCUUGAUCAUGGAUGGUGAAGAUAUACCAGAUUUUUCAAGUUUAAAGGAGGAAACUGCUUAUUGGAAGGAACUUUCCUUGAAGUAUAAGCAAAGAGUUUACUAAGUCUUAUCAAACCUUUUACUGCCCUUUCAUUAUUAUCACCGAAGUCAGUUAUUCUAUUGUGCCAGUGGAUAUGAAAGCUUCCAGGAAGCUCGGGAUGAGCUAGUUGAAUUCCAGGAAGGAAGCAGAGAAUUAGAAGCAGAGUUGGAGGCACAAUUAGUACAGGCUGAACAAAGAAAUAGAGACUUGCAGGCUGAUAACCAAAGACUGAAAUAUGAAGUGGAGGCAUUAAAGGAGAAGCUAGAGCAUCAAUAUGCACAG